rnacentral:misc_RNA from 1 species
GAUGAAGAACGUAGUGAAAUGCGAUAAGUAAUGUGAAUUGCAGAAUUCAGUGAAUCAUCGAAUCUUUGAACGCACAUUGCGCCCCUUGGUAUUCCGAGGGGCAUGCCUGUUCGAGCGUCAUUAUAACCCCUCAAGCUCAGCUUGGUGUUGGGGCCUGCUGCACUGGCAGCCCUUAAAAUCAGUGGCGGCGCCAUCUGGCUCUAAGCGUAGUAAUUCUUCUCGCUAUGGAGUCCUGGUGGAUGCUUGCCAUCAACCCCCAAUUUUUCUAUGGUUGACCUCGGAUCAGGUAGGAAUACCCGCUGAACUUAAGCAUAUCAAUAAGCGGAGGA